rnacentral:rRNA from 1 species
UACAGAGGGCUCAAGCGUUGUUCGGAUUCACUGGGCGUAAAGGGUGCGUAGGCGGUCGGGUAAGUCUGACGUGAAAUCUUCAAGCUCAACUUGGAAACUGCGUCGGAUACUAUUCGGCUAGAGGAAUGGAGGGGAGACUGGAAUACUUGGUGUAGCAGUGAAAUGCGUAGAUAUCAAGAGGAACACCAGUGGCGAAGGCGAGUCCCUGGACAACACCUGACACUGAGGCACGAAAGCUAGGGGAGCAAACAGG